AUUGUGUUGUGACCUACGUCUCCAGAGGCUUUACAUACUUCUGAAAGCUCUCUUGGAACUCUUUCCAGUUGCCAUGUGAACAAGUCUGAGAAAUUCUGCUGAAGGAUUCCCUAAGCAUCCUAGGGCAGCUAGGAACCAGUUAAUCUAGCAGGGGAUUGCAGAUGCAUGACUGAGCCCAACUGAGACCAGAGGACCAUCCAGAUAGACCCAGCCUAAACUGCUGACCUGCAGAAGUGCAUGUCUUUUGGCCAUUUAUCUUAUUGGAGAGGAAUAUGCCAUAUUCUUGUGAAAAGAACCGGACAACAAAACCAGAUUUGAAAGGCAAAAGACUGAUGUGUUAUGAAUCAUGUGAGAUUGAUGCUGCCACCCCAUGUGUGAAGCUUCAGAGACUCAGGAAUGUCAACAGGACUUGGCUGAUGUCACACACAAGAACAUCUCGAUGGACACAUGUUACACGGGGAAAUCUCUAGCAUGUGCUUAGUAGGAGCACAAGUGUAAAAGCAGAUGAAUUCAACACCCUGCAAAACGUUCAGGCCAAAUGCUGAAGAGCCUCAUUUAAACAGACAAA